UAAACCAUACAAUCACUUUGGAUUGUAGACUUAGGCUUCGUUUGGAAUUGCGGGAAGAUUGUGUUAUGUGCGGUGAGAAACGACGAUGAAAAAAUAUUCUGUUUGUUUCCGUACGUAAUAUUACGUUCCACAUAUUGCGGUUAGUUUAUUACGAUAUAUUUUUUGCGGUCCCAUCGAAGAAUGCAGAAGCAUAUCCCGAUAUGCUUUUUCUCAAUUUCAUUCUAUGUAAUAGCGUUAGUUUGACCUCAAUACCAAACGUUAGG
rnacentral:lncRNA from 1 species